ensembl:snoRNA
AUCGUUGUAGAAAAUCAAGAAUCAGAUGCUACUCAGCUGUGCCUGUGACAUCAGGGUGAAGAGCAAGUGGCUAUUUCUAUGCCCAGUGUUCAGAAGCCAGUGAGCACUAAGAAUGGUUUAUAGCCUGACAUUU